UGGGGAAUUUUGGACAAUGGGCGAAAGCCUGAUCCAGCAAUGCCGCGUGUGUGAAGAAGGCCUUCGGGUUGUAAAGCACUUUUGUCCGGAAAGAAAUCCUUGGCUCUAAUACAGUCGGGGGAUGACGGUACCGGAAGAAUAAGCACCGGCUAACUACGUGCCGGCAGCCGCGGUAAUACGUAGGGUGCAAGCGUUAAUCGGAAUUACUGGGCGUAAAGCGUGCGCAGGCGGUUUGCUAAGACCGAUGUGAAAUCCCCGGGCUCAACCUGGGGACUGCAUUGGUGACUGGCAGGCUAGAGUAUGGCAGAGGGGGGUAGAAUUCCACGUGUAGCAGUGAAAUGCGUAGAGAUGUGGAGGAAUACCGAUGGCGAAGGCAGCCCCCUGGGCCAAAUACUGACGCUCAUGCACGAAAGCGUGGGGAGCAAACAGGAUUAGAUACCCUGGUAGUCCACGCCCUAAACGAUGUCAACUAGUUGUUGGGGAUUCAUUUCCUUAGUAACGUAGCUAACGCGUGAAGUUGACCGCCUGGGGAGUACGGUCGCAAGAUUAAAACUUAAAGGAAUUGACGGGGUCAUAGCUGUUUCCU
rnacentral:rRNA from 1 species